rnacentral:rRNA from 1 species
ACGCACGCUGGCGGCGUGCUUAACACAUGCCAGUCGAACGGAAAGGCUCCAGCUUGCUGGCGUACUCGAGUGGCGAACGGGUGAGUAACACGUGGGUAAUCUGCCCUGCACUCUGGGAUAAGCCUGGGAAACUGGGUCUAAUACUGGAUAUGACCUUUCUCCUUAUGGGGUUUGGUGGAAAGUUUUUCGGUGUAGGAUGAGCCCGCGGCCUAUCAGCUUGUUGGUGGGGUGAUGGCCUACCAAGGCGACGACGGGUAGCCGGCCUGAGAGGGUGAUCGGCCACAUUGGGACUGAGAUACGGCCCAGACUCCUACGGGAGGCAGCAGUGGGGAAUAUUGCACAAUGGGCGGAAGCCUGAUGCAGCGACGCCGCGUGAGGGAUGACGGCCUUCGGGUUGUAAACCUCUUUCAGCAGGGACGAAGCGUAAGUGACGGUACCUGCAGAAGAAGCACCGGCUAACUAUGUG